rnacentral:rRNA from 1 species
UGGGGAAUUUUGGACAAUGGGGGAAACCCUGAUCCAGCCAUGCCGCGUGAGUGAAGAAGGCCUUCGGGUUGUAAAGCUCUUUCAGACGGAAAGAAAAGGUCUCGGUGAAUAAUCGAGGUCGAUGACGGUACCGUCAGAAGAAGCACCGGCUAACUACGUGCCAGCAGCCGCGGUAAUACGUAGGGUGCGAGCGUUAAUCGGAAUUACUGGGCGUAAAGCGUGCGCAGGCGGUUGUGCAAGACAGGUGUGAAAUCCCCGGGCUUAACCUGGGAACUGCGCUUGUGACUGCACGACUAGAGUACGGCAGAGGGGGGUGGAAUUCCUGGUGUAGCAGUGAAAUGCGUAGAGAUCAGGAGGAACAUCGAUGGCGAAGGCAGCCCCCUGGGCCUGUACUGACGCUCAUGCACGAAAGCGUGGGGAGCAAACAGG